UACGGAGGGUGCGAGCGUUAUCCGGAAUUACUGGGUUUAAAGGGUGCGUAGGCGGCUUGUUAAGUCAGGAGUGAAAGUUUGCGGCUCAACCGUAAAAUUGCUUUUGAUACUAGCAGGCUAGAAUCAGGAUGAGGUCAGCGGAAUGUGGCAUGUAGCGGUGAAAUGCAUAGAUAUGCCAUAGAACACCAAUUGCGAAGGCAGCUGGCUAGACCUGGAUUGACGCUGAGGCACGAAAGCGUGGGGAGCGAACAGG
rnacentral:rRNA from 1 species